UUUGUGAAAGGAAAGCCUACUUCAAUUGUUUCCACUACUUGGUCACAGACUCGGACAAGUUGCCAGAGAUCUACAGGCACAUCCCACAGCCCCGAGCAAGCUCCUCUUCACUAAGUCACACCAGGGGUGGGUGACAGCACCAUGGAGGAUUAACAAGAAAGCUCUGCAAAGGCUGUCUAAAACAAAGAGAAGAUAUUAGGCACUUUGCACUGUUCCUGACCACUGCUCUUCUUUCCUGCACUUCUAAAACCUCUGAUUUGUGCCCUCUGCUUUCUUGUUGCCAUGGAGAAGGUCCAACACAUGACCCGCUCCGCUCUGAGGAGAGCCUCAACUAUUGAGGUCAACCCACAAGCACGCCAAAGGCUCCAAGAGCUCUUUGUGAAUUUCUGCCUGAUUUUAAUAUGCCUCUUGCUGAUCUGUAUCAUAGUGAUGCUUCUCUGAAGUUCCAGCACUUCUCUGCCCUGUCCUCUAGGAAUGUCACCCCGGGAAGAAGAGAGACCUACACGUGCAACUCCCAGUGCAAGGAUCCUCAUGUGACAGGGGCUAGCACUUGGACUAGAGGGUGUGCCAACCAGUGCUCUGUUAUCUUACUGCCCGCUACAUGUAUUAAAAACACAUUUUCUGUGCAGAACAGUGUUUAGAGCCUGUAGUUACAAAGUUUUGCAUGACUCAGUUUGUCAGUCUCAAUCAACAGAUGUCUUUACUACGUGGGGUAAAUCAGUAAAUCAGAUUAUCUGCUCUGAUCAGUAACAGCCAGCAGCUGGUAAAGUCCAUAUUUUAGUCAGAUAAAUACCACCAUCACUUUUUGGGGGCCUAAGUGUUUUUAGGUUUCUUGGAAAAUCUUUAAGCCCUUGGAAGGGUUCCAAAUUUGGAUCAUGCCUGCCCAAGGAAGAGCUUACAGGUAUACAGCCCUCAACACAUCCUGGGAAAAUUUCUGCUCUGCCUAGUUCAAGGUGCUGCAUCUCUGCAUUAUCAACUGAAGGCAUUCAAAUUGCUUUAGUGUUUUUCAGAGAAAUAUGAGAAUGAACCAAAAAUCUCUUCUAACUCAGAAAUUAAAAACUAUUUCAUAUGUUUUUCUCCCUAUUUAAGGGAUUUUAUAUAUCUGACAUCUGGAAAGAUUUUUCAUUAUGUUUUACAGAAAAAAAUUGACACUACCAUAACUGAUAUAAAAAAUUUUGUUUUCCAUAGUCAUUUGACUGACAUGACAACUGGCACAACUUGGAUUCUCAGAGUUCUUAAUAUUUGCCUUUAGACAAUUUAAUUAAGGCUUGUUCUAAUUUAUGUAAUCAUUUUCUUAGUUUAAAACUACAGAAAAUUUGGAACUUGCCAAUGUCACAUGAGGUGGCUUACACCUGAUGUGACAGUGGGCAAAGUCUAGGUCACCAUUACUAUUGUGACUGAAGUGCACCCAUACAAAUAACACAUUUGCAUGUGUAUGUGAUGUAACAUCCCCAUCUUCAGCUGCAAAUUCCUGCUAUAGAACAUGCAAGUAAUUUCCUAAAAUAUAUGACAGAUAAAAAAAAAUCAUCAUAAACAAUUAUGCACAGGAGGGGAAAGCACAGCAGAAGUAUCUUUUCAACAUGUAAACCAUAGGCUAUAUACAUAAAAGAUGACACAUCUACUCCAAAAAUUGUGAGUAAAAAGACUGAGUAGAAGACUUCCAAGCCUACUAACCCUAUUACAUGUUGCUGGUAUUAAGCAAAAGUCCUAGAAAUUCGAUACACUUCUCAAAUUUAAAGACAGCUCAAAAAUCAACAGGCAGAGGUCACAGACAUCCAUUUCUUAAAGAUAUAUUCUUCUAUUCCAUUUUAUGUAAACAUUCUUACUGAUGAAUACAGAAAAUCAAAAUAAGUUUAUCUUAAUAGUUCAUGAGUAAAAGUUGACAAUGAACAGCUGAGCAGGAAGGGAAGAAACCUUUGAAAAAACUUUGUAUUCAAUGGAAUGCAAGCAAAUCCCGUGGUGAAUUUCCUCUCUGGUGAUUAGGUAUGUUGAGACCAGACUCUGAAAUAAGAUUACCCACUAGAGGAAAUGAAGAUAGCUAUUUGUAUAAGGAUUGGGGCAAGCACUGGUGAAACUGGCAACACACCCACACACUUGCAAGUUAGUACAUGAGCAUUACUGAUUUGCACUGUCAGUGUAAAUCUCAAUUUCUGUUUCAUGCAUUCUGACCACUCUCACAAAUGCAUGAGAUUUUAGCAAGCAUAUUUCCCCGUUUUAAUCCUCCUUACUUUUUUUCUCUUUUCAAAUCUGUAUUUUUGUGAUGGAUAGAGUUCCUAGCUUUAGUUUCCUUUGGAUGUGUUUCAAGAGACUUCAAUGGAAAUUGACAACAGUUUUACAGUACUGAACACUUGCUGAAGAAAAGAAGUGUUAAGAGUAAAGCAUCAACACUACAUUCUGAGGACAUGUUUGGGUUAUAGGUUCCACAAGCGAGUAAUAUAAAGGAGUCAGAGCAAAGCACUGCUAAAAAAUGGAAACCAAUAAAAACAACUUCCAACUUCCCCUUAUGUAACUGAAAACUCGUAACUUAUUUUAAAACAAUAACCAAACACGAACAAAACCAAGUUAUCCAUAAAAUGGAAGCCCUACUGCUAUUUUACAGCAAUGCAGAUAUAUUGCAUAUACUGUAUGGUUCAUUUGUCUUAGGCUUCUGUUGAUCAGAAAAUCUGUUACUAGCCUCUAUAUCACCAAUUGUCAGCUGAACCAAGAAAUUUUAAAAAAACCCUUUUGUACAUAAUACAAUCUUCUUUGUAGACUUAUAUAAGCUUUAAAAAUAAUAUCUAUAGUAUUUUUAUUUAAUAAGAGGACUUCUUGAAAAAUAUUAACACAUAAAAUAUAUCCGAUUCUGUUUAGAAAGCAUCCAUUCUAUUAUUUAUUAAAACUAUGUGAAAAGAAGUUAGUCAUCACACAGCUAAUUCUCUAUUUAUUCUGUUUUGGUUUUCAAGAGUAAUCUUGACUAUUUUGUGAUGUCCAGGUCACUUACAUGUACCUGAUUCCACUCAGUAGCUAGUGCUUGUAACUAUUCCUAAUGAAUUUUCUGCAAGUGUAAUCAAAAAUUUCACCACUUUUAUGAGCCAUAAUAAAAAUUGCAAACAUGUACAGCA